rnacentral:rRNA from 1 species
GAAUAUUGCGCAAUGGGGGAAACCCUGACGCAGCGACGCCGCGUGAGCGAAGAAGGCCUUAGGGUUGUAAAGCUCUGUUCUAAGGGACGAAAAGCCCUAUUGUAAAUAAUGAUGGGGAAUGACGGUACCUUAGGAGGAAGCCCCGGCUAACUACGUGCCAGCAGCCGCGGUAAGACGUAGGGGGCGAGCGUUGUCCGGAAUUACUGGGCGUAAAGAGCACGUAGGCGGAUGUUUAAGUCAGAUGUGAAAGACCGCAGCUCAACUGCGGGGUGGCAUUUGAAACUGGAUAUCUUGAGGGCAGGAGAGGACAGUGGAAUUCCUGGUGUAGCGGUGAAAUGCGUAGAAAUCAGGAGGAACACCAGUGGCGAAGGCGGCUGUCUGGACUGACCCUGACGCUGAGGUGCGAAAG